GACCCUCUGCCGAAAUGCCGCAGGCGACAGUGGCAGUCAUUGAGCUGCUCAAUUGCCUGCUGCUGUUUUCUGCGGCACAUUGGCAGAAGGUCCUUCUUCGGCUGUGUGACAGGAGUGGAACCGGAAGCUCCCGUGCACCCCGUGAGGAGCACACAAAAUGCCGCCCCUCAAAUCCUGGCGCCCUAGGCGACCGCCUAGGGUCACCUAAUGGAAGCGCCGGCCCUGCAGCUGCCUACAGUAGGGGACCCUAAAUCUUUGUCUGGAGCAUCUGGUACUAGCCAGUGCUGAAUCUUCAUCUGAAGCAUCUGGUACUAGCCACUGCUGAACCACUGGUCUCAUCCAGUAGAGCAAAUCCUAUCUUCCUUUCAGUGUCAUAGCAACAUACACCACAAUGUCUCUGUAAGCGUGCGCUGUUGGGGUUCGCCCCUCUCUGGGGCAGCUGGGAGCCAGGCCGCCCCACUACCUGGGGCAACAAACGACAGGUCAGGGGCUCCGACCCUCAGGCAGGGCUGAGCCAGCAGUUCGGUUUACUAAGCCCAGGCCCUAGGUCAGGGCGGGGCAGCAAACAACAAGUCAGGGCUCAGACCCUCAGGCAGGGGCUGAGCAAACAGUUCAGUAUAUAGGCCCACGUCCUCGGUCAGAGCGGGGCUGCAAACAACAAUGCAGGCAGGGCUCAGACCCUCAAGCAGGGGCUGAGCUUCCAGUUUAGUCUAUUAAGCCCAGGCCCUCAGUCAGGGUGGGGCUGCAAAUAGCAAUGCAGAGCUCAGACCGGGGCUGAGCAAACAGUGCAGUUUAUUAAGCCCAGGCCCUGAGUCAGGGCGGGGCUGCAAACAAUGGUUCAGGGCUCAGGCCCUCAGGCAGGGGCUGAGCAAACCGUUCUGCAAGGUAGGUAGCCCAGGCUUCUGGGCCUGAGCGUCGGGGCGAGGGGGAGACUGCCACCCAUGAGUGGGGUGGCGGGGGGACGCAGACCCGCCCACUCUCCUGCAUCCCAGCCCGGGGCCCUAACAGCGGCAGGCGGCCUGCUGCUGUGUCAGUGGGGAUCCUGGCCGCAACACACUGACAUUGGCUCUGGUUGUGCUGCAGCCAGACUAGGGUCGGCUGCCCCCGGGCUACUUCCAGACUCCCCCUCAGGGCUUAUCUGGAUCCUGGGGUUGUCCUCCGCAAGGUCCAGGUGCAUGGGUUCGUCCCGGCCGGGGCUGGGUGGUAGGUCCAGCAACUCCUCCGGAAAGUCGGCCCAGGGUAGCUCCGGCGGCUCCUCCAGGUAGCGGGCACGGGGAAGGUCCGGUAGCUCCUCUAGGUAGCGGGCACGGGGGAGCUCCAGUAGCUCCUCGAGGUAGCGGGCACGGGGAAGCUCCGGUAGCUCCUCGAGGUGGCGGGCAUGGGGGAGCUCGGGCCACUCUGGGCGGCUACACUGGAUCGCAGGAGUCUCCCAGUCCCAAGCUCCCUGGGGGACAUCUGCUUGCUCCUGCUGCUGGGGCUUGACUGAGCUCUGAGGGCCUGCCUUUAUAGUUCCGGGUCGGCGCCUGACCCUUUGCGGGAUGGGCUCAGAGCUCUUUAGCUCUGCCCAGUCCGGCCUCCGGCUGGGCUCUUCAUCCUCUGGGGCGACUGGGAGACAGGCCGCCUCACUACAGUCUCCCUUUUAAAAUAGAAUUUGUUUUAGAGAGAGAGAGAGAGAGAAGGAUUUUCCCCUCCCUGAAAUUUACAGAAAUUUCUCCACCCUUCACCAUCACACUUGCUUUAAGUGAGCAAUUUGGCAAUGACUUUGUCUAGUUAUUAAACAAAACUGAUGUUCAAGAUUCAGAAACUGACUCCACUGAUCAGCAGAAAACUAUUCUCUGUAUUGCUAAACAUCACCUGCAAAAUGAACUUCCACAGCUCAGUUGUUCCAUUCAGUUUCGUUAUUGAGCAAUCAGUUAACUUGAAAGUCAAUAGAAAUUGGAACACAGCAGGAAAGGGACAGGUAACAAUUUGGCUUACAUACCUACACCACUCAAACUGCAGGCAAGCUGAAAAUACACAAGUCUCUUAGCAGGUUUUCCUGUUAAAGACUUAGGGUAUGACUACAUUCAAAACUUCAAAGCGCUGCUGCGGGAGCACUUUGAAGUGCAAGUGUGGU